UACGUAGGCGGAAAAUUAAGUCAGUGGUGAAAUCCUGCAGCUUAACUGUAGGACUGUCAUUGAUACUGGUUUUCUUGAAUACAGUUGAGGUAGGCGGAAUGUGUAAUGUAGCGGUGAAAUGCUUAGAUAUUACACAGAACACCGAUUGCGAAGGCAGCUUACUAAACUGUUAUUGACGCUGAGGUACGAAAGCGUGGGGAGCGAACAGGAUUAGAUACCCUGGUAGUCC
rnacentral:rRNA from 1 species